rnacentral:lncRNA from 10 species
CAGCUGCCAAGCAGGGGCGGGGGAGAGAGGAGGAAGGUGCGAAGGAGAGAAGGCCCAGGCGGCGCCCGCCCGCGGCGCCUGCGUGACCUUCCCACCCUGGCUACACAUUGACAGGCAUAUGCGCGCACACACACGGAUCCGAUGUCCACACAUAGCAAGUCACAUUCACUCCCCAUACACACAAGUACGUCAGCACACACAAGCUCAGAUGCUCAUGCAGACACAGCAGGCACAAAGCUGUAUUAUCAUCCACGUGCAGUGAGACACACAACGCCAUCCUCCCUCCUUUCCAUGCAUAUGCAUUCACACACGUGCACACACAUGCUCACACAUGCACACUCACACUGGCGUACACUCAUGCUCACCCACGAAUUUACAUGUGCACACAUGUGCACACUCGUUCACACUUGCACACACAUGCACACACAUACUCGUGGACACAGAUGAACACUGGCACAUGCUCACGUAUGACAUUCACACUUGCACACAUGUGCACACUUGUACUCACAUAUGCAUAUGUAUACACUCAAUCGCACACACACUCAUGCACACAGGACAUUCACACUUGCACAUAUGUGCACACUUGCACACACACAUUCACACACAUUCACACACAUGUGCACACUCACGCACACACACAUACUCAUGGACACACAUGCACACUCACACUCAUGGACACACAUGCACACUGGCACACAUACGCAUACUCAUGGACACAUG